rnacentral:rRNA from 1 species
GACGAACGCUGGCGGCGUGCUUAACACAUGCAAGUCGAACGAAAAGGCCCUGCUUUUGUGGGUUGCUCGAGUGGCGAACGGGGGAGUGAAACGUGAGUAACCUGCCCUUGACUUUGGGGUAACUUCAGGAGACUGGGGCUAAUACCGGGUAGGAGCUCUUGCUGCAUGGUGUGGGUUGGAAAGUUUCGGCGGUUGUGGAUGGACUCGCGGCUUAUCCGCUUGAUUGGGGGGUAGUGGCGUACCAGGGCUUUGAAGGGUAGCCGACAUUAGAGGGUGACCGGCGACAUUGGUACUGCGAGACGGCGCAGACGCCAACGGGAGGCAGUAGUGGGAAACAUGGCACAACGGGCGCAAGCCAGAUGCAGCAACGUCGCGUGCGGGAUGACGGCUUUCGGGUUGUAAACCGCUUUCGACUUUGACGAAGAGUGAGUGACGGUAAUGGGUAAAGAAGCACCGGCUAACUACGUG